UUCGCAAUGCCCGAAAGGGUGACGAAGCGACGCCGCGUGGGUGAGGAAGGCCUUCGGGUUGUAAAGCCCUGUCAGGAGUUAAGAAAUGUAGAUUCGCUAAUAUCGGGUCUAUUUGACAAAGGCUCCAAAGGAAGCCACGGCUAACUCUGUGCCAGCAGCCGCGGUAAUACAGAGGUGGCAAGCGUUGUUCGGAAUUAUUGGGCGUAAAGAGCACGUAGGUGGAUUUGUAAGUCAGAUGUGAAAGCCUUCUGUUCAACGGAAGAAUUGCAUCUGAAACUACAAACCUUGAGUGUAGGAGGGGAGAAUGGAACUUCUGGUGGAGCGGUGAAAUGCGUAGAUAUCAGAAGGAACGCCGGCGGCGAAAGCGAUUCUCUGGCCUAUUACUGACACUCAGUGUGCGAAAGCUAGGGGAGCAAACGGGAUUAGAUACCCCGGUAGUCCUAGCCGUAAACGAUGGGCACUAAGUAGA
rnacentral:rRNA from 1 species